UCCUAAAGGCGGCUGUGGUGCGGUCGGGGCUGAGGAGCUGCGCUGCCCCAGGAGCGGAGCCCGGUGUGUUGGAACUACGAAGUUCGUCAAGGGUCUGGAGAAUCUCACUUGUGAGGGAGAUGGGCCUUAUCAGCCUCGGGAAGAGCUCCUGCUGUGCCUUGGCAUUUACAGUCCAUCUGGACUAACACCUUCAGCAGUUUUUUCUGUGCCCAGCAGACUCUGGACCAGCAGUGACAAGAACAUUAGUUCAUCAACAAGCUAACCAUCACUCACUGUCUACACUGAGAAUGAUGUUGGGCCAGGAAGUGGAGAAGACCAAAGCAGGUAUAUAUAUAUCACUUUAUCCUUGAUGCUGACAGGGCAGAGUGGACAGGGAAAACAUCACUCAUCUUUCCAAACAUGAUUUCAUCCACUGUAAUUGUUUAUAGGAGGACAGGUCUGGAAUAAAACCUGAGUGCCACUUUGGAAGACCUCACGCCUUCUCUGUCAUCAGCAGCUGAGGCAGCCUGAAUGUCAACAUUCCCUUAUUGCAGGGAAUGUGUCCUUAAAAACUCCUUCAGGAAGCAGAGCUCUUCUGCUCCCUCAGACAUGGCCCAUUACAUCAGAGCUCCUGACUGGGCUCCAACGAGCCAAGUGACAGACUCAGACACUGCCAGCCAUACCUGUGCUGCAUUUCUGGGAGGGGAUGUUCCCUCAGCAGGACUGGUGGAUGAGAUGGACACCUAAAUCUGAGGUAAAUCCAAUAGGUUAAUCUGCACUGCCAUAAAAGUGAGGUUAAAGAGUUGGUGGGUAAGUUUAUUUUUACUUAGAGUCCACAGCAUUGCAAGUCUUGGUUUUGGCAGGCUGAAAACACCAUCCUACCUCCAGGAGGGAAAAUUAAAGUCUCUCAUAUUAAGUAGCUUAUAGCAUUAGUCAUGAAUCAAACCCAUUUUAGUAGUAGAAAUUCCAUGAAUUAUUUUAUCAUCUGGUUCUGUUUUAAUUUCUUUGUCUGUAACAACCAUAAUUGAUAAAAUAUACAAUAGCCCUAUGAUGUUCCCACUAGCAUGACUCCAGGAUACAAAUAUUUAAAUGAAGUGUUAAUGCUUUAAAACUCAUAGCAUGAAAAUUACUACAGUUGGGCACAUCAAAGUUGAAUGAACUCUUUUCCCCUUUCUAAAUAUACAGUGGUAUUAGGGGUGUAUUUCUGCUAUUUUCCUUUUAGAAAAUCUAUGGUUUUGACAAAAAUAAUUCCUAAUAUUGACCAUAAGCAGCCAGGAGAUGGUACAUCAUACCAUGGAGAGGAUUUAAUGCUGUAAAGCAGGAUGGGAAUGCAUUAUUCAACAGUAGAAUUCAGAAUUAGUAUAACUGAGGUGCAAUGCCAGCGGAAUCAAGAGAAAUGAAUCCUACUCAUUGCAGUAUGAAAUUUGUCCUAUAGCUUUAGGUCCUCAUGGAAAUUUAACCAUUUGUCUAGUCUCCUUAUUGCUCAGAUACAGCAGCCAGCUUUUCCAUGAGAUUAUUUAAAUGUAGAAUUAUUAGAAAAGUUUGCAGCUACAGAGAUAGAUGGGUUUUACAUAAAAUCCCUGCUCUUUGUAGCAACCCAGUGUGAUAUUGAGAAAGAUAAUGGUCAGAAAAUACAUUGCCAGGCUCCUAAUGAGAAUCUGUUGACAGUAGAAUUACCCCAACAUUCAUCAAAAAGCCAAUAAAUGUCAAGCAAGAGGCCUUUGAUGCAGUGGCUCAUAAUUCCUAUUCAGAAGCCUUUGCAGUCACUUCAGGGCACGCCGCUGUCCUGCAUUUCUGCUGAUUUUACUGAAAACUUUGUUGCUGAAGAAAUACAAGGAGCAGGUGUCAGUAUUCCAAGUGCCACUGCCACAGUGCCAUGGGCUCACUGUGAGACCUCAGGCACAGCACAUUUGGCCUCAAUUUCCCCAUCUGCAAUGCAGGAAUUACAACACAGGAAUUACCCAGAGGCAAUUCUGUGAAGGACACAGUGCUGCCAUCCAAAUGCUCAGAAAUCAUGAGCUAGGUGGUAAAAAACUCUGAUGCUGACUCCUGCCAAUGAGGUAGGCAUAUAUUUUUAAUAUUAACUAAAUUGUUAGUUUAGUCCAGCUUUUUAGGACUUUGUAGGACAUAUUUCCAAGCUCUCUCCUCCACAGCUACAGGAGAUUACUUCAAACCAACCCAAAACUAAUUCUUACCCAGGCUGCUGAAUUCUGGGUUGGAUGGCCUUAAGGAAACUCCAUGAAGUUUAUAUAAAAGCUUACAUAAACUGUUCUUGGGCUCUGUGGAGCACAGAGGGUAUAAAUACCUUGUCCAUUACCCAAGUCCUCUGUUUAGCUCUACUUUCAGUAUAUAUUCCCCAAGUGAUGUGGUGAGGAAGGUCACUGCCUGGUCCAUGAAUUAGAAAUAAUCUUGUGCCAUGUGUUAUUUGUCACUGCUCCCUGGCUUUUCAUUUGCCUUAUUCAUGAGAGCCUGAAGCUACAUCACAAGUGAUAUGAUCAUAUCCUUUAGAUUUUGCCUUUUGUAUAUUUUUUUAAAUUUCCAGGUAAAGGCUCAAAGCCAUUCCUCUAAGGCCUCCAUGGACUCUGAGGCAGUUCAUUCCAUUCAUGCUGGCAAUUCCUUGCUUGCAUAUCAUGACUGGUUUCCAUUCCAGCUGUUCCUGUAUAUAUGGAUAGAAAAUGUGUCCCUGUUGGUCAUUUUUAAGGAUAAGCUGCAUCCUAGAGCUGUAUGCAGAUGGAGUUGCUCUUAGUUUCCAGAGCCACAUGCUGUUAGGGUGACUGCAAACUAGGCUAAUUAGCUGGCAGACUUUGCUGCAGAGAGAUUCUUUAAUAAAAAUGGAGGGGGUGACAAGGGAUAGGCUCCUUGCUAUUUUGGGACAAACUCUUCCCUCAGGCAGUAGAUAACCAUGGUGGUAAGGCUCCCAAUCUAUCAUUUGGUUUGCUGUUUCUUGGCUGUAGUACUUAAUUAACAGUUCUGGAACUGCUCUGUUUCCCAGGAAUAGACUGUAAAUCCAUUAAAUUAAACAAUAAGGGCAGAUGUGGGCAAAAAUAAAAAGCCCAUGCAAGUCAGAAAUGAAAAAUUAAGUUGUUUUGUCAGUCUUCAGGGACUAGUGUGAGAAUGUUAUAAAACCUUCUGAAGCUUUUCUGUCUAGUGUUCAAGCAAGAGGGAAAUGUUCCUGUGGAUGCCAACAUUUUUAGAACUGAUGAUUGCUAAUUAUGAAAGCACUACUGACAGGACAAGGCAGAGUGGUUUGAAAGUGAAAGAGGGUAGGUUUAGAUUGGGAAUUAGGGAGAAAUUCUUUUAUUUGAGGGUGGUGAGGCACUGGAACAGGUUUUCUAGAGAAGCUGUGGAUGCCCCAUCCCUGGAACUUUUCAAGGACAGCCUGAAUAGGGCUCUGAGUAACCUGAUCUAGUGGAAGGUAUCUCUGCCAAGGGGUUUGAAUUAGAUGGUCUUUAAGGUUCC